rnacentral:rRNA from 1 species
ACGAACGCUGGCGGCGUGCCUAAUACAUGCAAGUAGAACGCUGAAGAGAGGAGCUUGCUCUUCUUGGAUGAGUUGCGAACGGGUGAGUAACGCGUAGGUAACCUGCCUUGUAGCGGGGGAUAACUAUUGGAAACGAUAGCUAAUACCGCAUAACAAUGGAUGACACAUGUCAUUUAUUUGAAAGGGGCAAUUGCUCCACUACAAGAUGGACCUGCGUUGUAUUAGCUAGUAGGUGAGGUAAUGGCUCACCUAGGCGACGAUACAUAGCCGACCUGAGAGGGUGAUCGGCCACACUGGGACUGAGACACGGCCCAGACUCCUACGGGAGGCAGCAGUAGGGAAUCUUCGGCAAUGGGGGCAACCCUGACCGAGCAACGCCGCGUGAGUGAAGAAGGUUUUCGGAUCGUAAAGCUCUGUUGUAAGUCAAGAACGGGUGUGAGAGUGGAAAGUGCACACUGUGACGGGAGCUUACCAGAAAGGGACGGCGAACUACGU